GAUGAACGCUGGCGGCGUGCUUAACACAUGCAAGUCGAACGAAGCAUUUGCGACAGAUUUUUUCGGAAUGAAGUUGCUUAUGACUGAGUGGCGGACGGGUGAGUAACGCGUGGGUAACCUGCCUUGUACUGGGGGAUAGCAGCUGGAAACGGCUGGUAAUACCGCAUAAGCGCACAAUGUUGCAUGACAUGGUGUGAAAAACUCCGGUGGUAUAAGAUGGACCCGCGUCUGAUUAGCUAGUUGGUGAGAUAACAGCCCACCAAGGCGACGAUCAGUAGCCGACCUGAGAGGGUGAACGGCGACAUUGGGACUGAGACACGGCCCAGACUCCUACGGGAGGCAGCAGUGGGGGAUAUUGCACAAUGGAGGAAACUCUGAUGCAGCGACGGCGCGUGAGUGAAGAAGUAAUUCGUUAUGUAAAGCUCUAUCAGCAGGGAAGAUAGUGACGGUACCUGACUAAGAAGCUCCGGCUAAAUACGUG
rnacentral:rRNA from 1 species